UACAGAGGUCUCAAGCGUUGUCCGGAUUCAUUGGGCGUAAAGAGCGUGUAGGCGGCCAGGUAGGUCCGCUGUGAAAACUCGAGGCUCAACCUCGAGAUGUCGGCGGAAACCAUCUGGCUAGAGUCCGGAAGAGGAGAGUGGAAUUCCUGGUGUAGCGGUGAAAUGCGCAGAUAUCGGGAGGAACACCUAUUGCGAAGGCAGCUCGCUGGGACGUCACUGACGCUGAGACGCGAAAGCGUGGGGAGCGAACAGG
rnacentral:rRNA from 1 species